GUGUUUUUGGACCACCCCCCUCUCCUUUGCACCAGCAGCCCAGUUAGCUCCUCUCCUCACUCUGAUCUGCUGUUCUCCCACAGAAGAGCAACAAGCAACUGACAUGAAAGAGAAAGGAUAUCAGCUUCACAUUCUGGGAGAGACCAAGAAAGAACAGGAGACAUUUUGGACUCUUUUCAUCAGAGGACUCCACAUAUCUGUUUGAAAAAAUUUUCAAGAGUGUUUUCAAACAAUAACAUUUGAAGGGUAACGUGAGGAUGCAGGCCAGGUUAUUUGACUUUUACACUUGGAGGAGACACACCAAGGAGAGAAUUGUAUAUAAGAGCCAGCUUCUGCUUACUCUUGUUUUUUUUCUGUUCUUUUCUAUUUUAGUUUUUAUCCCUAACUAUUAUCUACCAUUUUAUUAUUUUAUAUUCCUCUCAAAUUGGUUCUAAUCGUUUUUUUCUUCUGUCUGUCUUAUUAUAAUAUUGUCAUUUGUGAAGGACUGUGAACUUCACUAACCUGCAUGACAGGUGCUAUGUUCAUAAGGUUGGAUUGAUUGAUCGAGUAACAAUGUACAGACGUGUACAAGAUUUCCACUGACAGCAAUAAAAUGUACAAUUGUUCACAGCAUUUAACUUCUUAAGCCACUGGACAGGUACGUUCAUUGAGAGCAGAUCACUGUAAUCCAGUCAAGGUUAAACAAAGAUCAAUUGUUUCCUUGUCUGGGGAAACCUCAUACAUUUUUUAAAUAAUAAACUGGGUAUUAUAUAAUCGUCUUAAUUAUUAUUAUCUACUUGUUAUUUCUCUGUCUCUGUGAGCAGCUCUGCUUGUUUCUUCAGGAUACAGUUAAAAGUGUAAUGUUGUACUACAUGUGACGCCUUUAUUGAACUCACCAGGCUGUUCAGAAGCUUUUAGCUGUUGUUCUGAGGAUUAUCGGCCUCAGUCACAUACAAAGUCAUCACUAACUACAGUUCACAUUGCAGACAGAAGGCUCAAGGCGGAAGGUGAUCAGUGAACACCCCACUGCCUAAUGUUUUCAAGUGUCUUCAGCUAUAUGAGGGAGGCAUGCUCUUUUUAUCUGGUGUCCUAGUACAUGCUUGUUACUAUAGUAACAAAUCUCCUGUAGUGGGGCAGACUCGGGGCCACAUACCAACGGUGCGUGACUCAAUUUUCUUGGUGUUCACGAGGCGGAGUUAGGUAACCAGAACAGCUCUCCGGUAAACAUUUCCUCUUCCAACUUUUACGAGUUUUCAAAUCAUAAUAAGUUUAGAAGCAAGUCGUCCAGUUCAUGUUAUUAAUUCUCCAGCUGUUAUUUGCCUCAUAAGUGAAAAAUCCUGAUAAUUCUUUGGACUUUUCUGUAGCUCAAUGUGUAUGGAAAAAAAGAAAAGUAAAAAUUCUUGCAUCAGCUUGGGUAUUUGUACGCUGGGUGUGCACACACACACAUACACACACACACACACACACUCAUACACACAUACACACAUGGGAGACAUGGAGCUCACACCGUGCCACAUUCUUUCCUCUCUCUCUCUCCUCUGCUAAUCACAUUCAGGACCUUUCAAGUGGGCCGUGAUUAGAUUGCACAGGCAUCCACCACUUCUGCUGCAACGAGACUGAAGGAGAAAGAGGGAGGUGGAGCUUUGUGUCUCUAAAACCACACGAUGCAGUGUGUACGACACAGGGGUUGGACACACACACACACACAUGCCAGGGACUCCUUUAUUCCUGUUGACUGUGUUGAAACUGUAUUUGUGAGCUCUUGUCUGGUUUUUGUGAAGUUGUAUUAAUUUUGGAUUAAAACAUCCAUUCUUGACUGUGA